rnacentral:rRNA from 1 species
UACGUAGGGGGCAAGCGUUGUCCGGAAUCAUUGGGCGUAAAGAGCGUGUAGGCGGCUCGGUAAGUCCGCUGUGAAAGUCCAGGGCUCAACCCUGGAAUGCCGGUGGAAACUGUCGAGCUAGAGUCCGGAAGAGGCGAGUGGAAUUCCUGGUGUAGCGGUGAAAUGCGCAGAUAUCAGGAGGAACACCGGUGGCGAAGGCAGGUCUCUGGGCCGAUAUUGACGCUGAGGAGCGAAAGCGUGGGGAGCGAACAGG